AGCGUACACGGUGGAUGCCCUGGCAGUCAGAGGCGAUGAAGGACGUGCUAAUCUGCGAUAAGCGUCGGUAAGGUGAUAUGAACCGUUAUAACCGGCGAUUUCCGAAUGGGGAAACCCAGUGUGUUUCGACACACUAUCAUUAACUGAAUCCAUAGGUUAAUGAGGCGAACCGGGGGAACUGAAACAUCUAAGUACCCCGAGGAAAAGAAAUCAACCGAGAUUCCCCCAGUAGCGGCGAGCGAACGGGGAGGAGCCCAGAGCCUGAAUCAGUGUGUGUGUUAGUGGAAGCGUCUGGAAAGGCGCGCGAUACAGGGUGACAGCCCCGUACACAAAAAUGCACAUAUUGUGAGCUCGAUGAGUAGGGCGGGACACGUGGUAUCCUGUCUGAAUAUGGGGGGACCAUCCUCCAAGGCUAAAUACUCCUGACUGACCGAUAGUGAACCAGUACCGUGAGGGAAAGGCGAAAAGAACCCCGGCGAGGGGAGUGAAAAAGAACCUGAAACCGUGUACGUACAAGCAGUGGGAGCCUCUUUUAUGGGGUGACUGCGUACCUUUUGUAUAAUGGGUCAGCGACUUAUAUUCUGUAGCAAGGUUAACCGAAUAGGGGAGCCGAAGGGAAACCGAGUCUUAACUGGGCGUUAAGUUGCAGGGUAUAGACCCGAAACCCGGUGAUCUAGCCAUGGGCAGGUUGAAGGUUGGGUAACACUAACUGGAGGACCGAACCGACUAAUGUUGAAAAAUUAGCGGAUGACUUGUGGCUGGGGGUGAAAGGCCAAUCAAACCGGGAGAUAGCUGGUUCUCCCCGAAAGCUAUUUAGGUAGCGCCUCGUGAAUUCAUCUCCGGGGGUAGAGCACUGUUUCGGCAAGGGGGUCAUCCCGACUUACCAACCCGAUGCAAACUGCGAAUACCGGAGAAUGUUAUCACGGGAGACACACGGCGGGUGCUAACGUCCGUCGUGAAGAGGGAAACAACCCAGACCGCCAGCUAAGGUCCCAAAGUCAUGGUUAAGUGGGAAACGAUGUGGGAAGGCCCAGACAGCCAGGAUGUUGGCUUAGAAGCAGCCAUCAUUUAAAGAAAGCGUAAUAGCUCACUGGUCGAGUCGGCCUGCGCGGAAGAUGUAACGGGGCUAAACCAUGCACCGAAGCUGCGGCAGCGACACUAUGUGUUGUUGGGUAGGGGAGCGUUCUGUAAGCCUGUGAAGGUGUACUGUGAGGUAUGCUGGAGGUAUCAGAAGUGCGAAUGCUGACAUAAGUAACGAUAAAGCGGGUGAAAAGCCCGCUCGCCGGAAGACCAAGGGUUCCUGUCCAACGUUAAUCGGGGCAGGGUGAGUCGACCCCUAAGGCGAGGCCGAAAGGCGUAGUCGAUGGGAAACAGGUUAAUAUUCCUGUACUUGGUGUUACUGCGAAGGGGGGACGGAGAAGGCUAUGUUGGCCGGGCGACGGUUGUCCCGGUUUAAGCGUGUAGGCUGGUUUUCCAGGCAAAUCCGGAAAAUCAAGGCUGAGGCGUGAUGACGAGGCACUACGGUGCUGAAGCAACAAAUGCCCUGCUUCCAGGAAAAGCCUCUAAGCAUCAGGUAACAUCAAAUCGUACCCCAAACCGACACAGGUGGUCAGGUAGAGAAUACCAAGGCGCUUGAGAGAACUCGGGUGAAGGAACUAGGCAAAAUGGUGCCGUAACUUCGGGAGAAGGCACGCUGAUAUGUAGGUGAAGUCCCUCGCGGAUGGAGCUGAAAUCAGUCGAAGAUACCAGCUGGCUGCAACUGUUUAUUAAAAACACAGCACUGUGCAAACACGAAAGUGGACGUAUACGGUGUGACGCCUGCCCGGUGCCGGAAGGUUAAUUGAUGGGGUCAGCGCAAGCGAAGCUCUUGAUCGAAGCCCCGGUAAACGGCGGCCGUAACUAUAACGGUCCUAAGGUAGCGAAAUUCCUUGUCGGGUAAGUUCCGACCUGCACGAAUGGCGUAAUGAUGGCCAGGCUGUCUCCACCCGAGACUCAGUGAAAUUGAACUCGCUGUGAAGAUGCAGUGUACCCGCGGCAAGACGGAAAGACCCCGUGAACCUUUACUAUAGCUUGACACUGAACAUUGAGCCUUGAUGUGUAGGAUAGGUGGGAGGCUUAGAAGUGUGGACGCCAGUCUGCAUGGAGCCGACCUUGAAAUACCACCCUUUAAUGUUUGAUGUUCUAACGUUGACCCGUGAUCCGGGUUGCGGACAGUGUCUGGUGGGUAGUUUGACUGGGGCGGUCUCCUCCUAAAGAGUAACGGAGGAGCACGAAGGUUGGCUAAUCCUGGUCGGACAUCAGGAGGUUAGUGCAAUGGCAUAAGCCAGCUUGACUGCGAGCGUGACGGCGCGAGCAGGUGCGAAAGCAGGUCAUAGUGAUCCGGUGGUUCUGAAUGGAAGGGCCAUCGCUCAACGGAUAAAAGGUACUCCGGGGAUAACAGGCUGAUACCGCCCAAGAGUUCAUAUCGACGGCGGUGUUUGGCACCUCGAUGUCGGCUCAUCACAUCCUGGGGCUGAAGUAGGUCCCAAGGGUAUGGCUGUUCGCCAUUUAAAGUGGUACGCGAGCUGGGUUUAGAACGUCGUGAGACAGUUCGGUCCCUAUCUGCCGUGGGCGCUGGAGAACUGAGGGGGGCUGCUCCUAGUACGAGAGGACCGGAGUGGACGCAUCACUGGUGUUCGGGUUGUCAUGCCAAUGGCACUGCCCGGUAGCUAAAUGCGGAAGAGAUAAGUGCUGAAAGCAUCUAAGCACGAAACUUGCCCCGAGAUGAGUUCU
rnacentral:rRNA from 1 species